rnacentral:pre_miRNA from 1 species
UAACUACUCCCUUCGUCCGAAAAUACUUAUCAUAGUAGUGGAUGUAUUUAGAUGUAUUUUGCAAUAGAUAUAUCCAUUUAUAUCCUUUUUUGUGACAAAUAAUUUUGAACGGAGGGAGUACAUG